UAAUAAUUGAAGGGAGUGGGUGCGCCGUGUGGGGAAUAGCAAAGGGAAUCGUUGGCCAGUCUCAUAACUUUGUUCUUCAUCGUUAACCAAGCAAGGAGAACAUUGCACUAUUGCAGUGACUGAUCCUAAAGUACAAGCACUAGUAUCCUCUUAGCAUCUGUGAUUCCCAACUGAGCAAAGCUAACAGAGCCUCUGCUUCUUCCAAAUUCAAGAGAAGACAAGGUUACCAUGGAUUUAAUGGACUUAGGUAAUGACUUAGGUAAUGUACCUAAAUCAGUGAAGAUACCUUUAACCAAACAACUUAGGUAAUAUACCUCAAUCUCACUUGUGUAUUUUAAUAUUUACUCCUCAUCUAAUUAAGGACAAACUUUUUUUGGUAACUUCGAUUUUUGCACGGGUUUCUAAACAGAGUUGCUCUGAUACAAGACAAUGAAGUUAAGGUAGAAGGUUUGGUCACAAAUUCAUGGAGGCUUUGCAGCAUUCAGCAAGUUGAAGAAGUCAAAUGUUUAAUUAAAAUGAUACCAAUCUGAGCUUUUGGUAUCUUGUGUUGGAUACCAAUGGCACAAGCAGGAAUCUUUUCUCUAAUCAAGGCCAUGAAAAUGGACUGCCACCUUGGACCACACUUUGAACGAUGCAGCAGGAAUUUCAAAGUGUGGCACAAAUAGGUCAUAGCAGGGGAGCCAUAUUCCUGCUGCAUCGUUCAAAGUAUGGUCCAAGGUGGCGGUCCAUUUUCAUGGCCUGGAUUAUAGGAAAGAUUCCUGCUUGUGCCAUUGGUAUCCAACACAAGAUACCAGAAGCCCAGAUUGGUAUCAUUUUAAUUAAACAUUUGACUUCUUCAACUUGUUGAAUGCUGCAAAGCUUCCAUGAAUUUGUGACCAAACCUUCUGCCUUAACUUCAUUGUCUUGUAUCAGAGCUUUAGAAACCUGUGCAAAAAUCGAAGUUACCAAAAAAAGUUUGUCCUUAAUUAGAUGAGGAGUAAAUAUUAAAAUACACAAGUGAGAUUGAGGUAUAGUACCUAAGUUGUUUGGUUAAAGGUAUCUUCACUGAUUUAUCAUCUCUUAGUGCAUCAUGGAUCGCUAUGAUGGCGGGCUCUGAGCAAAGACAACAACAUCUGAAUGAAUUGAGUACUCUUUUUCAAAUUACUUCAAUUAUACGAGGAUGCUCACUGUUUGAGGGAUCUAAUGAUAAAAUGGAGGCUCUUCUUCUAAGACAAAACAUCCACUCCGUGGACAUGCUACUGCUGAUAGCUGCCUCAGAAAGUGACAGACAGGCCAAAAAUUGAGAAAGAAACUCUUGUGAGCUGGAGUAAAAUUUGAUUUAAAAGAUGCAGAUGGAUGAAUAGCCCUGGAUAAGGCUAACGAUGACAUUCAAGAUUUUAUUUUUAACUUUUCAGUACAUAGGGCAUGAUUAGUUUAUUUCCAUUAAUGCUAUUUCAGCUACAUAGUUGUUUACCUUGUGAUAACUUUUGAAUUAUGUAUGUUUAUAUUCUUUU